UACGAAGGGGGCUAGCGUUGUUCGGAAUCAUUGGGCGUAAAGGGCGCGUAGGCGGCCUGCCAAGUCGGAUGUGAAACCCCUCGGCUCAACCGAGGAACUGCACUCGAUACUGGUUGGCUAGAGUCCGGGAGGGGAUGGUGGAAUUCCCAGUGUAGCGGUGAAAUGCGUAGAUAUUGGGAAGAACACCGGUGGCGAAGGCGGCCAUCUGGACCGGCACUGACGCUGAGGCGCGAAAGCCAGGGGAGCGAAUGGG
rnacentral:rRNA from 1 species